rnacentral:rRNA from 1 species
AUGGACCCGCGGCGCAUUAGCUAGUUGGUGAGGUAACGGCUCACCAAGGCGACGAUGCGUAGCCGACCUGAGAGGGUGAUCGGCCACACUGGGACUGAGACACGGCCCAGACUCCUACGGGAGGCAGCAGUAGGGAAUCUUCCGCAAUGGACGAAAGUCUGACGGAGCAAAGGCGCGUGAGUGAUGAAGGUUUUCGGAUCGUAAAACUCUAUGGUAGGGAAGAACAAGUACCGUUCGAAUAGGGCGGUACCUGAC